AAAAUUAUGUCGCCGUAAAUAUUUUGACUACAAAGCCAUCCUACAAGGCAGUAUUAGGUUGCCGCUAAAGUGUUAAACGACAUUGGUUUUUUUGUAGCAACUAUUUAUUUCCGGCGGUCUCCGGACCCUUUCUUACUCUCUUGCCCGCCUAUGGUCUGAACGCCCCCACCCCUCGACGUCUCUCUCCCUCACCAGCUGUUGUCUUCGUUCUCUCAAACUCCCUUUGCGCCGCCGCAGUCCUUAGCUGUCUCCGGUAGCAGUUUCGUCAGUCAGUUUGCCAGCCGGUUUCUCUGUUUGGAUCCAAGAGAUCAAAGGGAAACAGAUCUAGAAAGCAUUAAAAGAGAGAAAAAAAGGUGGUGCAGCUUUGGGUUCUUGUUUAGCAGGGAAAAUCAAGGUACCUUUGUAGGAAUUGGAGAGAUGCACGGUGGUGGUGAUGUCUUGUGGGCUUGGUCAAUGCUUUUUGUCAAUCAAAAGAAUUUGUGGAAGAAUGUGUUGUUGGAGAUAUCUGUAGAAGAGUCUUGAAGGCUUGUGAUUUGUGGAAGACGUGUUUGUGAUUUUUCUGCUGAAGACUGGGUCUUAGUACUCGAGUUGGACUCUGUCUCAAUAGCUUCAAACUCUGAGUUGGCAUAUAGAAUCUCUUGAAUCAGGUCAUUCCACUUAAUAUCGUAUUGCUUUUCCUUUUUGAUGAUUUAUGGGACUAACUGUGAAGAUUAACAUGCUUUUGAAGCAGAGAUGUUUUAAGGUAUAUAUAAUAAGGUAUACAUUUAUUAUAAUAAGGUAUAGAUUACCUGCUUCUGACGUUUUAUUCUCAGUUACACGAAAUGUUAGAUGGUGGCUCACCUGGUGUAUACUCCUUGCAGGAAGCAGUCUUGGUUUAUUGGGAAAAGGAGUUGUCAAGGGUGUUGAUUAUGGGGCAACAGGCGAAGUUAAGAAAGUGGAUGUUUCGUGUACAUGCGAAAGGCUUGAUGCAAGUCAUAUUAAAAGACUUUGAAUCAAACCUUGCUGGUUAUGCAGAUUCAUCAAACACAGGGAGUACACAAUGCAGCGCAGAUGAAGAAAUACUAGAGGAAACAGAGGCUGAAGAAGAAGUUUUCAUAUUCAUAUAUCGUGUGUUUACCAGGCAACUGUUGAUAUAUAUAUAUAUAUAUAUGUAUAUCAGAUUUACAAAUGAAUAAAAUAAUGUAAGCUAAUUUCUAGCUCAUGUAACAAACUAUAACAGAAUAUUUCCUAUUCUAUUAAUCUGGUGCAGCCGUAAGUAUUUGAGAUGAAUUUGUAUCCUGUAUUCUCAACAUCCCCCCGCAAGAUGGAGAGUAUAUGUUGAUUACUCCCAUCUUGAGCAGCAGCCGAUUGAAAGUGGGGGAGUGCAAUGGACAACAUGUAGUUGUCUACAGUGCUCCUCUUGUUGAACCAAAGAAGUCACUCGAUUCAACGGGGGUAAGAGGUCGUAGAGUAAAAUCUAAGCACAAAUAGUCGUAAGAGUCAUUUAAACCCAUUAAAAAUUGCAUUACCUUUUGUCAAUGUGCGUUUUCCAGCAAGGUUUUGAGUGAACCACAGAUACAUGAAGGCAUUGGUUCAUAGAUUUCCAACUUGUCCCAAAGGCAUUUGAGUUUGUUAAAGUAUUGGCUCAAUGAAUCGGUAUCUUGAAUCAGUAAUGAGAUAGAUUUGGUUAUCUGGAAAAUGCGAGGAGCAUUUUGGAUUGAAAAUUGCUCACGAAGAUCCUUCCAAAUGUUAGCUGCCGAGCCGGAAUGUGCAAUGUUGGAUCGAAGGUCUAAACCAACAGAGUGUUGAAUCCAGGCGAUGAUCAUAUCGUUGCAACGCUCCCAUGGGGCAAGAAGGGGAUUAGAUUCAUGAGUGGGUUUUGAGAUUUUGCCAUCAAGAAAGUCGAGUUUAUUUUUGAUGUUGAGAGCACGUCUCAUAGUGCGCGCCCAGGUCACAUAAUUUGCUGUAGUGAGGAGGUCUGGAACUAGGGAAGAAGAAGCUCUUUCUUCGGGCUGAAUAUAGUAUGGACUGGCGGGAUAGUGGGGCUUGGUUUCAGGGGAGUUGGUUUCAGGAUUGGAAGACAUUGAUGAAUUGGAUUCAGAGUCGAUAUUGGGAGGAGUUUCAUUCAUGGCUCUGGUACCAUGUUGAUAGCAGCGUAGAUGAAGAAAUGCUAGAGGAAACAGAGGCUGAAGAAGAAGUUUUCAUAUUCAUAUAUCGUGUGUUUACCAGGCAAUUGCUGAUAUAUAUAUAUAUAUAUAUAUAUCAGAUUUACAAAUGAAUAAAAUAAUGUAAGCUAAUUUCCAACUCAUGUAACAAACUAUAACAGAAUAUUUCCUAUUCUAUUAA